rnacentral:rRNA from 1 species
GCGCGAAACCUUUUCAAUGCACGCAAGUGUGAGAAGGGAAUUCCAAGUGCUCAAGUUUUACUUGGGCUUUUGCCAAGUGUAAAAAGCUUGGCGAAUAAGGGGUGGGAAAGACUGGUGCCAGCCGCCGCGGUAACACCAGCGCCUCGAGUGGGGGUCGCGAUUAUUGGGUCUAAAGCGUCCGUAGCAGGCUUUGUAAAUACUUUGUGAAAUCGGCAGGCAUAACCUGUCGGCGUGCAGAGUACACUGCAGAACUUGAGACCGGGAGAUGUCAGAAGUAUUCCUAGGGUACCGGUAAAAUGGGUUAAUCCUGGGAGGACUACCGAUGGCGAAGGCAUCUGACAAGAACGGUUCUGACUGUGAGGGACGAAAGCUAGGGGAGCAAAACGG